rnacentral:rRNA from 1 species
AUACGUAGGUGGCGAGCGUUGUCCGGAAUUACUGGGCGUAAAGGAUGCGUAGGUGGAUACUUAAGUGGGAUGUGAAAUCCCCGGGCUCAACCCGGGAACUGCAUUCCAAACUGGGUAUCUAGAGUGCAGGAGAGGAAAGCGGAAUUCCUAGUGUAGCGGUGAAAUGCGUAGAUAUUAGGAGGAACACCAGUGGCGAAGGCGGCUUUCUGGACUGUAACUGACACUGAGGCAUGAAAGCGUGGGUAGCAAACAGGAUUAGAUACCCUGGUAGUCCACGCCGUAAACGACGGGUACUAGGUGUAGGAGGUAUCGACCCCUUCUGUGCCGUCGUUAACACAAUAAGUACCCCGCCUGGGGAGUACGGUCGCAAGACUAAAACUCAAAUGAAUUGACGGGG